rnacentral:lncRNA from 1 species
UGCCCACAUCAACUGAGCCUGUAAAAGGGAAGCAGCUCCACUGCUCUAAACAGUGGAGUGAGGGACCCAGCUUCUGCACUGAACCUCUCAGGACGCGACCCUCAGUUAUUUCAUGCUGGUGUCUUACACCCCUGCUAGAUGCUCUGACCUUGGAAACCUCAUGCCCAAAUAACUCUCCUGUGCCCAUCUGGCAUCCCCGCUAUAAGUGGAGCUCUGGCAGCUGCACAUCUGAGAAUUGCAGUCUGGGACAUGGGUCCACUCUGGAUGUGACAUCAAUUGGGUGGAAGUGGAAAAUAUGCUCUGCUGGUAACUGUACUGAUGCAG